GUAAAUUGUGGAGAAGAGUCAAGUUUAGGGAAGAAGUAAUCGUUUAGAUGGUUUUAGGGUAGGAGAUUAGAUUUAUAAUUGUGAUUUCUUUUUCUUUUUUAAUAAUACAUGCCUAAAAUAUUUGAUGUGAAACAUAAAUUAAUAUGAGUGUAUAUUAAGAGAUUAGGGGUGUGUAUUUACACUACCAGGACAAUCACUUUAGCCGACGAAAAAUUUUUGUCGGCCUGUUAGCUUAAUUCAUCGGCUAAGAUCUUAGCCGACGAGCCAUCGUCGGCUAAGAUUUCGUCGGGAAAAGGUCGUCUGUGAUGACUUUCGCCGACGAAAAAAAAAAUUUCGUCGGCUAUAGUCCCGCAGUUUAGCCGACGAAAAACAUGUCGUCGGUUCUUUUCCCAGACUUUAUCCGACGAAACAAUUAAGAUAUUCGUCUGCUAAAGUCUGUAAUAAAAAAAAAUUUCCCAGACUAUAACCGACGAAAUAUAGUAUGUUUCGUCGGCUAAACCUUAUAAAAAUAAUUUAAAAAAUAACUCUAGCCGACAAAAUAUAGUCUGUUUCAUCGGCUAAACCUUAUAAAAAAUUUUAAAAAAUAACUAUAGCCGACGAAAUAUAGUCUGUUUCGUCGGCUAAACCUUAUAAAAAAAAUUUAAAAAAUAACUAUACCCGACGAAAUAUGCCAUAAUUCGUCGGCUAAACCUUAUAAAAAAAUUUAAAAAUACUAUAGCCGACGAAUAAACCUUUAAAUAUCGUCGGCUAAACCUUUAAAUAUCGUCGGCUAAAGUUGCUGGUUUUUGAAAAAAAAAACUGCAGAAACUUUCGGCCACCUCCAAUCACCACCAAAAUUUGACAGAAUCUUCCUCUCAACAUUUCGAACAACUUUCUAGAAGAAGUCGAAGCCCAAUUCUAAGCCUAAACAGGUCAAUUGAAUCAAAAUAUAAAAAUCCCCAAUUUUAAACCCUAAAAACUUCAAAUCUUCGAUUCUCCUCACACACACCGAAUCGAGCUACCAAAUUCUAGGAGAAUGUAGUACUAAUCAAAGUCAACUUAUCCAUAUAUAGAACUCACCAAAUGGUGACCUGAGGAAGGAGAAAUUCGAUCGACACCGAAUCCGAACCGACGGAGUUUUGGAGCUCGAUUUAUCUCUCACGGCGGCGCCACUCGAUGUACCACCUGUCCAGCAAUGAAGUAGAGACGACGGCGAUAGUUUUGGGACAAGUGUGGCGGUCUCCGGUGGCUUCACGGCGGAGCUAGGCCGAGAAGAAAAUCUGGCAGGCGAAAUAGAUUUCUUACCAUCCACCUUCGGUAAUAUAUAGAACUUUAGCCGACGAAAUUCUUUAUUUUCGUCGGCUAAACUCUUUUGAAAAUUUUGAAAAUUUUAGUUGACCGCCAAAAAAUUUUGGUUGAAAAUUUUGAAAAUUUUUCGACUUUAGCCGACGACUUUUCAUAUAUUUUCGUCGGCUAAAGUCCUUUGAAAAUUUUCCUCCAAAUUUGGUUUACCGCCCAAAAAUUUUUGUCCUUCGCCGACGACUUUUUUAAUAUCUCGUCGGCUAAAAUCUAUAAACUCACGAAAACGCUUAUAUCUCCCUCUAUAUUACGUAGUUUGGUCAAACCUUCCACACGAAAAACUUUCACGUAGAUGAGACGCAACCGCCUAUAUAAAAAUUUUGAGACAUUUACCUUCCGACGAUAGGGCUUCCCAUAGUGAAUAAUAACGGUAAAUAGGGUUGACCACUACUAUCGGCACCGAGACUUUACCCGAUUUACGUGAUUUUUGAACCAUAGCCGUAUUUCACCAUUCUGAACACAUCUUAUUUCAGGAGAUUUUUGAUAAUUUUGCUUCCUAUGUAGAGUUGGUUCACAAAAUUGUAUAACCUACUAAACAAGUUAUACAACAUUAGUAGACACGUUGUGAUUCCGAUGACUAAAAUUCACAAACCAAAAUUCGACCGUCCGAUAUGAUCAUUAUGACGAAAGAUGUCUAUGGUAAAAAAUUCAACUGGAUCCGACAACGUUAAGGACUCGAUCGAAACGGUUAACCCUAAUCCAUCGUCACUUAUCACACGAAAACGCUCAUAUCUCCCUCUAUAUUACGUGGUUUGGACAAACCUUCCACACAAAAAACUCUCACGUAGAUGAGACACAACUGCCCAUAUACAAAUUUUGAGACAUUUACCUUCCGACGAUAGGGCUCCCCAUAGGGAAUAAUAACGGUAAAUAGUAGACACGUUGUGAUUCCGAUGACUAAAAUUUACAAACCAAAAUUCGACCGUCCGAUAUGAUCAUUAUGAAGAAAGAUGUCUAUGGUAAAAAAUUCAACUGGAUCCGACAAGGUUAAGGACUCGAUCGAAACGGUUAACCCUAAUCCAUCGUCACUUAUCACACGAAAACGCUCAUAUCUCCCUCUAUAUUACGUGGUUUGGACAAACCUUCCACACAAAAAACUCUCACGUAGAUGAGACACAACUGCCCAUAUACAAAUUUUGAGACAUUUACCUUCCGACGAUAGGGCUCCCCAUAGGGAAUAAUAACGGUAAAUAGUAGACACGUUGUGAUUCCGAUGACUAAAAUUUACAAACCAAAAUUCGACCGUCCGAUAUGAUCAUUAUGAAGAAAGAUGUCUAUGGUAAAAAAUUCAACUAGAUUCGACAACGUUAAGGGCUCGAUCGAAACAGUCAACUCUAAUCGGAAAUAAGAAAACUGCAUUUUGAAGCCCUAAACGGACUCGGAUGGCCAAAAAGGCCCAUACAUCAUAGCAUUAGCAAUGAGUUUGACUCGUAGGGCCGUUACGCUUCCGGAAAGGUAUCACAAUAGUCAAUCGGACACCAAAAACCAAAUCUGUAACAUAGUGAAUAAUAAGGGUAAAUUGCAUUGACCGCAACUAUCGGCACCGAGACUUUACCGGAAUACCGUGAUUUUUCAACCGUGGACGUAUUUCACCAUUCUGGUCAUAUCUUAUUUCACAACUAUUUUGCGUUUGAAGGUUCUACGUACAGUUUUUUUUUUCCCAGAUGAGUUGUUGUCUAGAUCUGCAAAUAUAAAGCACUUUAGCCGACGAAAUUAUAUUUUUCGUCGGCUAAACUUUUAAAAAUUUCGUCAGCUAAAGUUCACAG
rnacentral:lncRNA from 1 species